rnacentral:lncRNA from 1 species
CUAAAGUCAAAUUAUUAAUAAUAAUUUUGUGUCAUUUGAUUGGCGUUAAGUGGGGCAUAGUAGAAAAGAAAGAGCUAACUAUUAAUAAUAAUUAUUAAUAGUUAGCUAAAGUCCACCAACAACUGUCUCAAAUUAUGUGAUAGUAGGGAUAAGUGGGGCAUAAUAGGAAAGAAAGAGCUAACUAUCAUCUCCUCUUCUUGGUGGGCUUUAUGGUUGGAGCGAAAUAUAAGAAUUUUCAACCAUAAAAAACUUUUGUUGAGACAGCUGUUGGUGGACGUAUACGUGCUCAAGAAUAUGUGGGAUCAGUAUUGUGUGUAGUGUUUUUUUUUUUUCCUCUGCGAAGCCACGAUGCUUCACUCUGUUGCUAAAUUCAUCUUAUUACUGAAUAAAGCGGUAGCAUGCUACCUUUCUCUCUCAAAAAAAAAAAAAAAAAA